GAUGAACGCUGGCGGCGUGCCUAAUACAUGCAAGUCGAGCGAACAGAUAAGGAGCUUGCUCCUUUGACGUUAGCGGCGGACGGGUGAGUAACACGUGGGUAACCUACCUAUAAGACUGGAAUAACUCCGGGAAACCGGGGCUAAUGCCGGAUAACAUUUAGAACCGCAUGGUUCUAAAGUGAAAGAUGGUUUUGCUAUCACUUAUAGAUGGACCCGCGCCGUAUUAGCUAGUUGGUAAGGUAACGGCGUACCAAGGCAACGAUACGUAGCCGACCUGAGAGGGUGAUCGGCCACACUGGAACUGAGACACGGUCCAGACUCCUACGGGAGGCAGCAGUAGGGAAUCUUCCGCAAUGGGCGAAAGCCUGACGGAGCAACGCCGCGUGAGUGAUGAAGGUCUUCGGAUCGUAAAACUCUGUUAUUAGGGAAGAACAAAUGUGUAAGUAACUGUGCACGUCUUGACGGUACCUAAUCAGAAAGCCACGGCUAACUACGUG
rnacentral:rRNA from 1 species